GUACAUAGGAAUUUGCUUCGUCUACGUGGUUUUUGCAUGACACCUACAGAACGAUUGCUUGUCUAUCCAUUCAUGGUCAAUGGUAGUGUAGCUUCUUGUUUAAGAGAGCGUCAGGAGUCACAACCCCCACUUGAUUGGCCGAUAAGGAGGCGAAUUGCAUUAGGUGCUGCACGGGGACUGGCUUAUUUGCAUGAUCAUUGUGA
rnacentral:misc_RNA from 1 species